rnacentral:rRNA from 12 species
CCACACAUAUGUGAGAGUGCCUGAUAGGGUCUGAGCUCAGAAGCUAAAUAGGGCUCUACCUGGUUAGUACUUGGAUGGGAAACCAACUUGGAAGAUCAGCUAAUGAGGA